UGAGGAAUAUUGGUCAAUGGGCGAGAGCCUGAACCAGCCAAGUCGCGUGCAGGAUGACUGCCUUAUGGGUUGUAAACUGCUUUUAUAAAGGAAUAACAACAGAAACGUGUUUCUGGAUGAAUGUACUUUAGGAAUAAGGAUCGGCUAACUCCGUGCCAGCAGCCGCGGUAAUACGGAGGAUCCAAGCGUUAUCCGGAUUUAUUGGGUUUAAAGGGUGCGUAGGCGGUUACUUAAGUCAGUGGUGAAAGUUUGCAGCUCAACUGUAAAAUUGCCAUUGAAACUGGGUGACUUGAGUAUGGUAGAGGUAUGCGGAAUGCGUUGUGUAGCGGUGAAAUGCUUAGAUAUAACGCAGAACCCCAAUUGCGAAGGCAGCAUGCUGGACCAUUACUGACGCUGAGGC
rnacentral:rRNA from 1 species